rnacentral:rRNA from 1 species
ACGCGCGGAACCUUACCAGGUCUUGACAUCCCGGUGACCGCUCUGGAGACAGAGUUUUCCCUUCGGGGACACCGGUGACAGGUGGUGCAUGGUUGUCGUCAGCUCGUGUCGUGAGAUGUUGGGUUAAGUCCCGCAACGAGCGCAACCCUUGAUCUUAGUUGCCAGCAUUUAGUUGGGCACUCUAAGGUGACUGCCGGUGACAAACCGGAGGAAGGUGGGGAUGACGUCAAAUCAUCAUGCCCCUUAUGACCUGGGCUACACACGUGCUACAAUGGAUGGUACAAAGGGCUGCAAGACCGCGAGGUUAAGCGAAUCCCAUAAAACCAUUCUCAGUUCGGAUUGUAGGCUGCAACUCGCCUACAUGAAGCUGGAAUCGCUAGUAAUCGCGGAUCAGCAUGCCGCGGUGAAUACGUUCCCGGGCCUUGCACUCACCGCCCGU